GCCAAAAUGAGAUAAGUGUGUAAAAUAGAAAUAUGAAUAAAUACUCAUUGCUCACCAGACGUCUCCCUUACCGCCACUAAAUCUGCCAUCCCCACCAGAGGGAGUAGCUGCUCCUCUUGAUAAAAAAAAGGAGAAGAGGAAGAAGAAGAAAAAGAAGGACAAGGAGGAGAGGAAAAAACUAUCACUAGACUAAAACUCAGAGGUCUGAUUGCGAUAGUUCAAAAAUAAAGGAUGAGACAAGCAAUCUCAAGGGGUCAAACACUGAUCACCCUGAGAAAUCCAAUGUAGUUCCUUCUACAAAUUCAACCUAGAGAAAUCCCUGAAGACUAUCAGAAGUGUGUGAAAUAAAUAGCCCGGGAUGAAUAAAUGGGGCUAAACAUCACCAAGAGGAGCUGUCCCUGGCCUCUUCAGGGUGAGAAUGUGAAGUUGGAGCUGCUGCAGCCGUCGCACGUUGGCAAGAUGAGAGCCCAUCUGAAAAUGAUAUUAACCUGUGGAAUAGAUCAAUGCCUAUGGACGAAGACAGAUUACGUUCAGCCCCUGGAACUAAGUGGAUCUGAAGCUCACACAACCCCUGUACAUUUCUCUUAUAGAAGACAAAUUCCUCUUCACUUAAGCCAACUUGGAUUGGGUUUUCUGUCACCAUGAUUGUAAAAGUUCCAACUCAUAAACUAUAGAAAGUUUUGUUGUAUAGGCAAUACACCCUGCCAUGUCUGGGUGCAGUUGAUAGCUGUGCCAGAUCCCUUUGACGGGCAGUCAUGGGCAUCAGGCUGGAGAACAAGGUGUUCCAAGAUAAUGAAUACUUCCAUAGCAACAAAAGUCUGACAAUAAACUGUUACCUUGAUUUUCACAUUUUCAAAGAAAAAUCCUUCAAUGGCAAUCAAACCAGAAGUCUCAGCAAUGGACACGCAAUAAUGGCUACAAGGUGAACAGCUUUUCUCUUUCAUUUUCAAAGCAACAUCAGUGACUGAUUUUCUUGGAAAGGAAUUUAGAUUGGAUUAGAUGAUCUUUUUUUUUUUCCAGUUGUAUAGCUUGUUAUUAGCAAUUAAAAUAUGCAGUUGCUUUUGAACCACACUGACAAUAAGUGACUUCAGAGGAGAUUUAUUAUAUUCUGACACAAAUGAUUUAUAAAUGCAAUUUUAUUUUAAAACUUCCAUCCUUUCUGUCCUUCUGGUUGCAAUUGUCAAAGUAUUCUGAAAGCAGAAAGCAUGUGCAUAUUGAAAAAAAGGUACAAAAUAUUUCAGAUAUAGUAAAU
rnacentral:lncRNA from 1 species